GGGGAUGUAGCACAAAUGGUAGAGCACUCGCUUAGCAUGCGAGAUGUACAAGGUUCAAUACCUUGCAUCUCUA
rnacentral:tRNA from 1 species